GUAGUAUUUCUAUUUGUAUCCAUCUAGAAUGAUUUAAUUUUUUGUCAUUAAAGUGAAGUUUGUCAGCAACGCGACACAUAAUAGUAUAGUUUCAUAAAGUCUCGCCAACAUAUUAUUUAUGUUUUAGUUUUUACGACUAUUCUUUCUAAUAUUCGUUAACUGGUUUAUUUUAAGUUUUGGUCAUUUAAGUCACGUGAUUUAAGAGAAGCUUGUCAGCAACGAGACACAAACACUGCUUCAGUUUGUCAGCUAAAUCGGUAUAUACGGUCCUAAAACUGGACUGACUUUACGCGUAACUAUGUUGAAUCAUUAUUGCAUUUCCACAAAAUGCUUUAGGGACAUGAUCGGUCUAUUUGUGAGUUCGUUCCCCGCACGUGGCAGUCGCGUUCGACUCCCACCUUAAUUGAGUUUGUAUUGGAUUACCAGUUGCCUUAUUAAGAUCUAGUAAUGGUUGAUGUUUUUCCAGGCACUUCGGUUUACUCCAUCAACAUAUAAAGAUCAAUAAAAAAUUAACCACCAUGAGAUAGCUGCGAGUGCUCUGAAAGUGAUUUAAAACACCAACGAUUAUUUAAUCAAUCAAUCAUAAUACAUAGAAAGUUAGAUUUUUUUCAAGUACCAAUCCAACAUAACCAUUUGUUUGAAAAUAAUAAAUGGGAAUUG
rnacentral:lncRNA from 1 species